rnacentral:rRNA from 1 species
AUUGAACGCUGGCGGCAGGCUUAACACAUGCAAGUCGAGCGGGGAAAGGUAGCUUGCUACCUGACCUAGCGGCGGACGGGUGAGUAAUGCUUAGGAAUCUGCCUAUUAGUGGGGGACAACAUCUCGAAAGGGAUGCUAAUACCGCAUACGUCCUACGGGAGAAAGCAGGGGACCUUCGGGCCUUGCGCUAAUAGAUGAGCCUAAGUCGGAUUAGCUAGUUGGUGGGGUAAAGGCCUACCAAGGCGACGAUCUGUAGCGGGUCUGAGAGGAUGAUCCGCCACACUGGGACUGAGACACGGCCCAGACUCCUGCGGGAGGCAGCAGUGGGGAAUAUUGGACAAUGGGGGGAACCCUGAUCCAGCCAUGCCGCGUGUGUGAAGAAGGCCUUGUGGUUGUAAAGCACUUUAAGCGAGGAGGAGGCUACCGAGAUUAAUACUCUUGGAUAGUGGACGUUACUCGCAGAAUAAGCACCGGCUAACUCUGU